rnacentral:rRNA from 1 species
UACGUAGGGUGCAAGCGUUGUCCGGAAUUAUUGGGCGUAAAGAGCUCGUAGGCGGUCUGUCGCGUCUGGUGUGAAAACUCAGGGCUUAACCCUGAGCUUGUAUCGGGUACGGGCAGACUAGAGUGUGCUAGGGGAGACUGGAAUUCCUGGUGUAGCGGUGAAAUGCGCAGAUAUCAGGAGGAACACCGGUGGCGAAGGCGGGUCUCUGGGGCAUAACUGACGCUGAGGAGCGAAAGCAUGGGGAGCGAACAGG